UGGGGAAUAUUGGACAAUGGGCGCAAGCCUGAUCCAGCCAUGCCGCGUGAGUGAUGAAGGCCCUAGGGUUGUAAAGCUCUUUCACCGGUGAAGAUAAUGACGGUAACCGGAGAAGAAGCCCCGGCUAACUUCGUGCCAGCAGCCGCGGUAAUACGAAGGGGGCUAGCGUUGUUCGGAUUUACUGGGCGUAAAGCGCACGUAGGCGGACUAUUAAGUCAGGGGUGAAAUCCCGGGGCUCAACCCCGGAACUGCCUUUGAUACUGGUAGUCUUGAGUUCGAGAGAGGUGAGUGGAAUUCCGAGUGUAGAGGUGAAAUUCGUAGAUAUUCGGAGGGACACCAGUGGCGAAGGCGGCUCACUGGCUCGAUACUGACGCUGAGGUGCGAAAGCGUGGGGAGCAAACAGG
rnacentral:rRNA from 1 species